GAUUAAGAGCUUGCUCUUAUGAAGUUAGCGGCGGACGGGUGAGUAACACGUGGGUAACCUGCCCAUAAGACUGGGAUAACUCCGGGAAACCGGGGCUAAUACCGGAUAACAUUUUGAACCGCAUGGUUCGAAAUUGAAAGGCGGCUUCGGCUGUCACUUAUGGAUGGACCCGCGUCGCAUUAGCUAGUUGGUGAGGUAACGGCUCACCAAGGCAACGNAUGCGUAGCCGACCUGAGAGGGUGAUCGGCCACACUGGGUACUGAGACACGGCCCAGACUCCUACGGGAGGCAGGAGNUAGGGAAU
rnacentral:rRNA from 1 species